rnacentral:snRNA from 1 species
GUGCGCACUUCUGGAGCUGGGCAGCAUAUAUACUAAAAUUGGAAUGAUGAAGAGAAGAUUAGCAUGGCCUCUGAAUAAAAAAAAAACUUUUAUGGCAAAAAUUUUAUGGGACUGU